ACAACAAUAACAAUGACCCCGAUGUAUUCUUGCUAGUGGAGUUUGAGAAGGGUGGAAUGCGUACAACGCAAAAAGGCUGUUUUCGAUAGACCCUCAGCCGAAGAAAAGAUGAGAAAAAGCACCGGCAACAAGUAAUAACAACACAAAAUAUUAAGAAUAUAGUAACAAGACUAAUGAAUCAAAUUAGAAAAUAAGGGAGAAAAUAGGGGGAAAGGCAGGGGACUGAGAAGAAUUUACCUGAGCUCAGUGGUUAUAUUAAUAUCAGAUAGAAGGAAGUAAAGGGCAUGAAAAAGUGUGGCUCUGAAGAGUAUUGUAGUAGCAAAUGAAGGUGAAAAAGGGAGCAGA
rnacentral:lncRNA from 1 species